rnacentral:rRNA from 1 species
AACGAACGCUGGCGGCGUGCCUAACACAUGCAAGUCGAACGAGAAAGGGGCUUCGGCCCUGAGUAAAGUGGCGCACGGGUGAGUAACACGUAGGUAACCUGCCUCCAAGAUUGGGAUAACCCGUCGAAAGAUGGGCUAAUACCGGAUAAGACCACAGUUUCCUCGGAAGCAGGGGUCAAAGGUAGCCUCUAUUUAUAAGCUAUCACUUGGAGAUGGGCCUGCGCACCAUUAGCUAGUUGGUAGGGUAACGGCCUACCAAGGCAAAGAUGGUUAGCUGGUCUGAGAGGAUGAUCAGCCACACUGGAACUGAGACACGGUCCAGACUCCUACGGGAGGCAGCAGUGGGGAAUAUUGCGCAAUGGGCGAAAGCCUGACGCAGCAACGCCGCGUGAGUGAUGAAGGCCUUCGGGUCGUAAAGCUCUGUCGGAGGGAACGAACGUUUUCGGGGUUAACGGCCUCGGGAAGUGACGGUACCUUCAAAGGAAGCACCGGCUAACUCUGUGC